UCAUUUUUGCAAUUACAGCAAUUGUGUAAUUUAACAAUUGCAUAGUAGCAAAAGUGAUU
rnacentral:pre_miRNA from 1 species